AACCCCCGGCAGUGGGCAAAGAGAUAUCUUGUUGGUGAUGCUUUUCUUAUUUUAGUCAAGGGCAGAGCAGAUGGCAGUCUUUUGUUUAUCCUUGCUUGGUGCCUGGCUUGGUGGUCAAAGCUAUCUUAAACCUAGGACUCAUAA